GGCAGACCCAGAGGCACUGAGUUGUCUCAGUUGAUCGUUCAGUUACAGAUAGAACUUCUUGUUCUGUUCUUUACCCUCUUCUCACUGCUGCAUUUGACUAGUCUUAA
rnacentral:Y_RNA from 1 species